UUCCAGGAUUUUUCCGGGAUUUUCCUGGGAUUUUCCCAUUUUUUUUUAGGGAUUUGCUCCCCCUGGAAGGUGAGCGGAGCUCCGCGCCCCUCCGGAAUUCCGCGCUGCUUCCCGGGAAUUCCCAUCCAGGGAUCCGCGGGAUUCCCGCCCCAGCAAGGUACGGAUUCCCAAAAAAAACAGGAAAAUGGGGAAAAUCCAACAUUCCCAAAAAAUCCCGGGAAAAAAAUGGGGAAAUGGGGGAAAAUCGUGGGAAAAAUAAGUAAAAAUGGAAAAAAAAAAUGAAAAAAAAUACGGGAAAAUGGGAAAAAUCAUGGGGAAAAUAUGGGAAAGUGGGAAAAAAUCAGGGAAAAAUAUGGAAAAAUGGUGAAAAAUCAUGGAAAAAAUAAGAAAAAAUGGGAAAAAAAUACGGGAAAAUAGUGAAAAAAAUCAUGGAAAAAAUAUGGGAAAAAUCGUGAAAAAAUACGGAAAAAGGGUGAAAAACCAUGAAAAAAAUAUGGGAAAAUGGGAAAAAUCAGGGAAAAAAUAUGGGAAAAAUCAUGAAAAAAUACAGGAAAAUGGGGAAAAAUCAUGGAAAAAAUAUGGAAAAAUGGGAAAAAAUCGUGAAAAAAAAAUACGGGAAAAUGGGAAAAAAUCAUGGAAAAAAUAUGGAAAAAUGGGAAAAAAUCAUGGAAAAAAUAUGGAAAAAUGGGGAAAAAUUAUGGGAAAAAUACGGGGAAAAAAUAAUGGAAAAGGGUGAAAAAUCAUGGGAAAAAAAUAGAAAAAAUGGGAAAAAGUUGUGGGAAAAAAAAAUACGGGAAAAUGGGAAAAAUCAGGGAAAAAAUAUGGGAAAAAUCAUGAAAAUAUACAGGAAAAUGGGGAAAAAAUCGAGGAAAAAAUAUGGAAAAAUUGAAAAAAUAAUGAAAAAACCACCCAAAAUAUCACGAAAAAAUCCUGGAAAAAACUCCCAAAAAUCCCCAAAAUAUCCUGGGAAAAUUGCAGGGAAAAAAAAGCACAAAAAAUGCCUAAAAUAUCCCAAAAAUGGCAAAAAAAAUAAAAAAU
rnacentral:lncRNA from 1 species